UAAAAUCAACUUUAACUAGAAAGGCAGACGGCACAGGUGACGCUAGAAAGGCAGACAGUACAGGUCAUGCUAGAAAGGCAGACGGCACAGGUCAUGCUAGGAAGGCAGACGGCACAGGUGACGCUAGAAACGCAGACGGCACAGGUGACGCUAGAAACGCAGACGGCACAGGUGAUGCUAUUAAGGCAGACGCCUGGGUUGUGACUGAAGCAACUGCAAGUGAGACUCUUUCCAUCCCACUCAGACAAUGAGGAAAAGUGAGUGGUGCUUGGCAUUCCUGCGCUUCAAUGGCUCAAAAACAGAGUAUGCGAGAGAAACUAAGUUAUUCACAGGACCUGAGAUAUCUGGACUUUCUUCUCUGGCGGAAGCCGAUUUUCUUACCCAGCGUUACCUUUCUGAAUUCAGUAUGAGAAGAGCUGCGGCCCAGGUGCAGCCCAGAAUCCUCAGCACCGAACACAUGUUGAGAACGGGUUUCAGAAAGAGCUCAGACACUGACCUAUGUCUGUAGAUCCGCCUCUCACCUGCCGGUGCAGGGGAGGCUGCCACAGGCUCAGAGCAGAUUUCCAUGGCCUCCCCUUCUGACCGCUCUCCACUGUCCCCUGGGGCUUCUGCUGAGGCUGGGCUGCGGGGAGAGAGCAGUGAGUAACUGCCCUGCACGGCUCCCACAGCCCCUGUGUUCCCCAGAAAUGAACAUGCAAGAAAGAAACUGGAUUUCCCUGAGAACAUAUUGUGAUGUUCGUGCCUCAGAGCUAAAACUAUGAGUGAAUUUCGGAUUCACCAUGACGUCAAUGAACUGCUUAGCCUGCUGCGUGUCCACGGAGGAGAUGGGGCUGAGGUCUACAUUGACCUGCUUCAAAAGAACAGGACCCCGUACGUCACUACCACUGUCUCUGCUCACAGUGCCAAGGUUAAAAUUGCAGAGUUUUCUCGUACUCCAGAAGACUUUCUAAAGAAAUAUGAUGAACUGAAAUCUAAAAAUACAAGGAACCUUGACCCGCUGGUGUACCUGUUGUCAAAGCUCACGGAAGACAAAGAGACUCUGCAGUACUUACAACAGAAUGCAAAAGAAAGAGCUGAGCUUGCAGCCGCUGCUGUGGGCAGCAGUACCACCAGCAUCAACGUCCCUGCCGCGGCCUCCAAGAUCUCCAUGCAGGAGCUUGAGGAACUGAGGAAGCAGCUUGGCAGCGUGGCCACAGGCUCCACGCUGCAGCAGUCUCUGGAACUUAAAAGAAAGAUGCUUCGAGACAAGCAGAACAAAAAAAAUUCAGGCCAGCACCUCCCCAUCUUCCCAGCAUGGGUGUAUGAGAGACCUGCCCUGAUCGGGGAUUUCCUGAUUGGUGCUGGCAUCAGCACAGACACCGCUUUGCCGAUAGGCACGUUGCCCCUGGCCUCGCAGGAGUCGGCCGUGGUGGAGGACCUGCUGUACGUGCUGGUGGGCGUGGACGGGAGGUACGUCAGUGCUCAGCCCCUGGCUGGGAGGCAGAGCCGGACCUUCCUCGUGGACCCCAACCUGGACCUGUCCAUCAGGGAGCUGGUGCACAGGAUCCUCCCAGUGGCCGCCAGCUACUCCGCUGUGACCAGGUUCAUUGAAGAGAAGUCUUCCUUCGAGUACGGGCAGGUGAACCACGCCCUGGCGGCCGCCAUGCGCACCCUGGUGAAGGAGCACCUGAUUCUGGUGUCACAGCUGGAGCAGCUGCACAGGCAGGGCCUCCUUUCGCUGCAGAAGCUCUGGUUCUACAUCCAGCCAGCCAUGCGCACCAUGGACAUCCUGGCCUCCCUCGCCACCUCGGUGGACAAAGGCGAAUGUCUUGGGGGGUCCACGCUGAGCCUGCUCCACGACAGGAGCUUCAGCUACACAGGGGACAGCCAGGCGCAGGAGCUAUGCCUGUACCUAACCAAGGCGGCCAGUGCUCCCUACUUCGAGGUUCUGGAGAAGUGGAUCUACAGGGGCAUCAUCCACGACCCAUACAGUGAGUUUAUGGUCGAGGAGCACGAGCUGCGGAAGGAGAGGAUCCAGGAGGAUUACAACGACAAGUACUGGGACCAGCGGUACACCAUCGUCCAGCAGCAGAUCCCGUCCUUCCUGCAGAAAAUGGCGGACAAGAUCCUCAGCACAGGAAAAUAUCUAAAUGUGGUCAGAGAGUGUGGCCAUGACGUCACCUGCCCGGUGGCUAAAGAGAUCAUCUACACGUUAAAAGAGCGGGCGUAUGUGGAGCAGAUCGAGAAGGCGUUUAACUACGCCAGCAAGGUGCUGCUGGACUUCCUGAUGGAGGAGAAGGAGCUGGUGGCUCACCUCAGGUCCAUCAAGCGCUACUUCCUCAUGGACCAGGGCGACUUCUUCGUGCACUUCAUGGACCUCGCGGAGGAGGAGCUCCGGAAGCCGGUGGAGGACAUCACGCCCCCUCGCCUGGAAGCGCUCCUGGAGCUGGCGCUGCGCAUGAGCACGGCCAACACUGACCCCUUCAAGGACGACCUCAAGAUCGACCUGAUGCCCCAUGACCUCAUCACUCAGCUCUUGCGCGUCCUGGCCAUCGAGACCAAGCAGGAGAAGGCGAUGGCGCACGCCGACCCCACGGAGCUGGCGCUGAGCGGCCUGGAGGCCUUCUCUUUCGACUACAUCGUCAAGUGGCCCCUUUCGCUCAUCAUCAACAGGAAAGCCCUCACUCGCUACCAGAUGCUCUUCAGGCACAUGUUCUACUGCAAGCACGUGGAGCGGCAGCUCUGCAGCGUCUGGAUCAGCAACAAAACCGCCAAGCAGCACUCGCUGCACUCCGCCCAGUGGUUUGCUGGGGCUUUCACUCUGCGGCAGCGAAUGCUCAACUUCGUCCAGAAUAUUCAAUACUACAUGAUGUUUGAAGUGAUGGAACCGACCUGGCACAUCCUGGAGAAAAACCUGAAAUCCGCUUCCUGGACACCUGCCUGAAGGACUGCAUGCUCACCAACCCCGAGCUGCUGAAGGUCUUCUCCAAGCUCAUGUCUGUGUGCGUCAUGUUCACCAACUGCAUGCAGAAAUUUACACAGAGCAUGAAAUUAGAUGGCGAGCUGGGCGGGCAGACGCUGGAGCACAGCACCGUCCUGGGGCUGCCCGCAGGGGCCGAGGAGCGGGCCCGGAAGGAGCUCGCCAGGAAGCACCUGGCUGAGCACGCAGACACUGUGCAGCUGGUGUCCGGCUUCGAGGCCACCAUCAACAAGUUUGACAAGAACUUCUCAGCCCACCUGCUGGACCUCCUGGCCCGGCUGAGCAUCUAUAGCACCAGUGACUGUGAGCACGGCAUGGCCAGCGUCAUCUCCAGGCUUGACUUCAAUGGUUUCUACACGGAGCGCCUGGAGCGCCUGUCUGCAGAGAGGAGCCAGAAGGCCACCCCCCAAGUGCCUGUCCUGCGGGGGCCCCCGGCUCCUGCACCCAGGGUCGCAGUCACCGCACAGUGAGCCCUGGCUGUGACAGGAAGGAAGGGUGUGGGGUCAGCAGGGACUGGUGCAAAUGGGUCCAGAAUUUUCAAAUCGAAUGCUCUGUGUUCUGUCUUUGCAGUUUAAAUAUAAAGCAGGAAUGAUUGACUCAGCUCACUUUGUUUCUCAAGGCGCUGGGUUUCGUUUUAUAGAAGCUGCCCAGGCAGGGUGGAUGUCUCCCUGGAUUUGCUAAUCUGUUUGCUUUUUGAAAUUACACUAUCACCUUUUUGGGUGUUUUUGGCCUCAAAGUGGAAAUACAUGGUGUUUAAGCCAGGAGCAAGCAAAGAUGCAUGUGGGGUAAGAUCCAGGCCUGGUGUCCACAUCUUUCCGGGUGAGCUGGGGCCGGGCUUCCUGAGGUCUGUCGGAACCGGGACAAGCCUCUGGAAACGGUCAGGGAGUUGUGGAAACCCACCGGGCAUCGGGUGUCGGGUUUGCUUUGGCCCCAGAGGCAGCCCCGUUCCUUCUCCUGAGGACUCACCCGCCUCCACGACCCUCCUCCUGCUGCUGCUCCAACUGGUCCAGGGCAGGAGGCCACAGACAGGGCCCUCAGGCACCCUGGGAGCCCACACCUCCCCCUCCGUGGGAGUGGGUCGAGGGGCAGGCUCUGCUGCUGGCUGGAAACCCCACCCCGCCCUAUCCGGUACCGCCUUGUUACGUAGAACUUACUCAGCAGACUGACACCCAAUCCCCCUCGGGCGAUCAUCUGCCCUGUCUUCCCACCUCCAGGGCUACAGUGGGCAGCACCGCCAUCCCCAGUGUGACAGGGCCCUGGGAGCCUCAGGGCUGCCCGGCCAGGUUGGUCUGCUCUGGUUACAUUCUGGCCAAGCUGCCCCUUCCUGCUGACCUGCAUGUGUAUUGUUGUCACCUUCAGCUCUCAGCACCUCGGCCCCCUUGGGCAGUGAGGAAGGGCCCUGGAGGCGAGGUUGGGAGAAAGGAUAGCUAGAACAGGAUCCUGCGGGGAACAAGGGUUGUGGGCAGCUCUCACCCGGGGCUGCCUCACUGAGAGCACCGCCGAGUGGGGGUGGGGGUGUCCAACUCUCCAGCCACAAACCGCUUCCUCCUUGUCUGCAGGCUGUGCAGGUCUGGCCUGUGAGUAAACACAUUUAUCAGCAA